UACGUAGGGUGCGAGCGUUGUCCGGAAUUAUUGGGCGUAAAGGGCUCGUAGGCGGUUUGUCGCGUCGGGAGUGAAAACUCAGGGCCUAACCCUGAGCCUGCUUCCGAUACGGGCAGACUAGAGGUAUGCAGGGGAGAACGGAAUUCCUGGUGUAGCGGUGAAAUGCGCAGAUAUCAGGAGGAACACCAAUGGCGAAGGCAGCUCGCUGGGACGGUACUGACGCUGAGGCGCGAAAGCGUGGGGAGCAAACAGG
rnacentral:rRNA from 1 species